UUCGUUAUUACUUGUCAAGAAGCAUGCUCAAUAUUAUUGAUUAAUUUUAACAUGUAAGCGGUUUAGGAUUAAAAUCAGAUUUUUUAAAGUUCUUUCACUCUAAUAGCAUGUUACUCUACAUUUGUAGAAAAUCUGUUAAUAAAAAAUAAUACAAGUUCACCUUUUUAAUUUGACAAGAUGUGAGCAUGUAUAGUAUAAUGUAA
rnacentral:lncRNA from 1 species